AUGAUUCCUACACGACGUAUGGAAUUGUGCGCGUCCUUAGUACCUGAUCCUUUCUGUCAACAAUCUUCUCCGGGCGUUCUUCAUAAGUUAAUUUAUUAUCUACAACCAUAUCCUCUAUCAACCAGAUAUGCUCUGGCGACGGUACGUAUUUCCUCAGCAUGGAUACGUGGAAUACUUUGUGAACUCAGGAGAGCGCAGGAGGUAGUGCCAAAAGGGGAAAGGGAAAGAAACGAAAAAAAAUUAGUUAAGCAAAGCCCAUGGCCUACCCCUCCUACUCUUCCAUACCAGUGA